GUUCUUGCCGGCUGCUUACUCACACUCCCUGACAAUUCUGCUCCGGUGCCAGACAAGAGGCUGGGUGGUGGGGAGUAUUUGUCUUAAGGAGGUACUGGGUGCACUAUCUCUCCAUAAAGAGGGCUAGAGACCAGGGAGCACCUGUCUUGGGGAGCUCCUCUUGUGCCCAACCCUUCCAAUCUGGGAGGAUACAAUGAGUGAGUGAAUGUGCCCGAGCUUAAAAAGAGCAACUUAAGGGCUAAGCACUCUCCUCUGAGAUGAUAGGUAGCUCCCAUUUACUGAGUGCCAAAUAUGCCAGGCAUGACAUAAGAAGUUCAUUCAAUCCUUUAACAAUUCUUUGAGGCCCAUUUUAUGAUUAUUCUCAUUUUAGAGAUCAGGAGACUGAGGCUUGGGAAGGUAAACUUACCAGCCCAAGCUCCCAUGGCUGGAAAGAAGUAAUGCUGAUGUUCUAACUCAUGCUCUUCCCUAGGCGUAACCACUGCUGCUCUUGGCUGCUCACCAGGCUGCCUCCAAACUUGCUGUCAUGUGCUGAGAAGGCAAACGGUAGCUCGUGAGAUGACCCCAGCAUUUGUGGUCAAAGGCCUUCCUUGGCCACUUUCUGUUCUGAAAACUGAUCAUUCCAAGACUAAGGUGCUGGAAGGUUUGGUGUCUGGUGAGUGCUGCUCUCUGCUUCCAAGAUGGUGCCUUGUUGCUGCAUCCUCCAGAGGAUGAGGAGCACUGGAUCUUCACAUGGUGAAAGGGAGAAGGACAAGACAGCCACAUCAUUCAUAAAGCCUCUUUUAUAAGGGCUUUGAUCUCAUUUACAAGGAGAGGAGCCCUCACUACCCAAUCACUUCUGAAAGACUCCACCGCUUACUAUUAUCACAUUGGCCAUUAAGUUUCAACACUUGAAUUUUGGAGGAGAUAUAUUUAAACCAUAACAACCCAUGACAUGCUCUUUCUUUCUCCGUCUCUUCACAUGGCUUCCUCCUUCUCAGGACCUAGGUUUCAAUUCAAAUGUCACUUUCUCAGAGAGGCCUUUCCUGGCUCCCUUGUUAAGCAACGUCCUCUUCACUCUAUAUGACUUACCUACAGUGGUUAUAUUCUUAGCACUCAUCAGUGUGUGAAACCAUCACAUUUACUUGUAUAUUGAAUAUUGUCUAUCUCUCCCCUUAGAACAUAAGCUGCUUAAGGUCAGGUUUACUGUGGGUAUUAGUCACCAUUGUAUUUCCAGCAUCUCAUGUAGUCUAACAUGUAUUCCUUUCAUUCAUUCCACAAAUACUUAAUUAGCAACUACUCUGUGUCAACCAUUGUCUUGGGCACUAGGAUAUAAGCUGUGAAUAGAAUUGAAAAGACAUCUGUAAUUCCAGCACUUUGGGAGGCCAAGGCAGGAGGAUUGUUUGAGCCCAGGAGUUCAAGGCCAGCCUGGGUAACAUAGUGAGACCCUGUCUCUACAAAAAAUAAAAAAUAAAUAAAAAUUAGCCAAGUGUGGUGGCACAUGCCUAUAGUUCCAGGUACUCAGAAGGCUGAGGCAGAAGUAUCAUUUGAGCCUGGGAGGUUGAAGCUGUAGUCAGCCCUGAUUAUGAUACUGCACUUCAGCCUGGGGGCGACAGAGCAAGACAUUUUCUGAAGGAAGGAAGGAAGGAAGGAAGGAAGGAAGGAAGGAAGGAAGGAAGGAAGGAAGGAAGGAAAGAAAGAAAGAAAGAAAGAGAGGGAGGGAGAAAGAGAGGGAGAAAGAAUGAAAGAAAGAGAGAAAGAGAAAGAAAGAAAGAAAGAAAAGAAAGAAAGAGAAAGGAAAGAAAGAAAGAAAGAAAGAAAGAAAGAAAGAAAGAAAGAAAGAAAGAAAGAAAGAGAAAGCAAGCAAGAGAGAAAGCAAGAAAGCAAGAAAGGAAGGAAGGAAGGGAGAAGAAAGAAAAGUUCCUGUUUUUACAGGGUCUAUAUCAUAUUUGGGCGGGGCAGUGCACACUGCAAAAAAACCAAAUUGUCAGUAAACAACUAAAUAUAUACUAUAUCAAGUGAUAAUAGGUGCUCUAAAAAAUACAGCAGGAAAGAGGAAUAGGGGAUGCUAGCGGAACAUUCACCCCAUCCUCCAAUAAUAAACAUGGUGAAUUACUUGCCUUUGUUUCCAUAGCACUUUAGAUACACUUUUAAAAUAUCACACUUAUCACAUUUUAUCAUAGUGACUUGAAGAAAGUGAAUUCAUCUGGCUCUGAGUUCUAAGUUAGUGAUGAUGUUAUAUGCAUCGGUCUUUGCAUCAGACAUAUAGGAAGAUGCAAUAAGUGCAAUUAAAUGAAAAAACAUGUGAAUUAGCAAAUGUUUACUUUUC
rnacentral:lncRNA from 1 species